GCUAGCAUUGGUUUGCACAGCACUGUGCUGUCGGUGUGCAUACCUUGCUGUAGGUGUGCCUGCCUGGAGUUUUGUUUAUAAUAACAGUGUGCAGGACCUGCCUUUCACUGGAGUAUAAUGGAAUUGUGCUGUUGUUCAUAGAAUGCAAGAAGUUGAUAGUGUUACUAUAACAGUGGUGGGUAUCAUUUAACAUUACAGUUGUUGUGGCCCGUGACUCUCAUACCCAGAGAACUGUAGGCUGUCCUCAUCAUGCUCAGGCAGCCUGAAUACUGGUCUGGAUUAUGCCUCUCACGGUGCAUAAGGAUGGCUGAGGAUCUUGGGAGCUAAGAUGCCAAAUACAGCUCUCACAAUAUACCAUUCAGUGGAUUUACAUGGAGCUACCCAUAAAAUAUGCAUUGUGUGUACAGCAGACAUGUAAUGACUUAUUUUGAAGAUUUGUAUUGUAACAAUUUAGCUUACUGCAAUGUAAAUUACAGGGACUUUGCAUUUUAGAUAAAACGUGUAAUUUACCCAGCAGAAUGUUUGUGAUGUUUAACAUUUGACACACAAUAGUUUUUAAAAACAAAAAUAUUUGCACUGAGAAGUUUAUACAGUUGGGAAGUGGAUGAGUUUCUUAUAAUGUUUUUUUUUAAGGAAGCCUUAUAUAAUUAGCUCUUUAAGUACCAUAUGUAAAGCAAAUGCAUGCAAGAGCGAGCUUACUCUACUGGCCCAUAAACUGAUUUUUGUGAUGGCAAAUCUAUAUUUUAGAGAUAGUAAUAUUUCCUGCCUUAGUUUCGUAUGGGUUUUUAAAAGUAUUUUUUUUUCUUUAUUGAGGCAGUAGGGCUUUUUGCCACAAGUAUAAUUUUGGAUAAGAUGCAGUAUUAAUAGCCUUUAUAUUUAUUUUUGCUCACAAUAGUAGCGGAUACCAACACACAGCACUAAGGGUCAUGACUUACAGAUUUCGAUUUACUUGGCAAACACUUAGCCAAGCAUAGCCAUGCAUUAUGUCUUAAAGAGUCCCACUCUCAUGUGGC